rnacentral:lncRNA from 1 species
ACCUUGGAUCAGGGACAGGAUACAGCCUCUCUUAAUUUUUUGGGUGGAAUGUGUCAUGUGCCUACACCAGAGACAAUGCAGUUGCCUUGGAAUUUCUGUAGCUUGCCUUUGGCCCUAGUGCCAUGGAGACCAGACUUCAAACUGCUGAGCUCCACAUUCUGCCCUGAUGGAGCUGGGCUUGGUGCCCAGUAAAAGUACAGAGGAUCCUUGUGCCAUGACUGUUUGGCCAGCCCUAGUGCCAGGGGGCUGUCUGGCAGUGCUCAUAGUUCUCUGGAGUGCAGCCAGGAUCUGCCAGGCAGUCUGACUCCAUCCAGAAGCUUCUCAACCAGAUGAAGAAGUGAUGUCUGUGAUCUGCUUUGGGGAGGGACUUCUCAAGUAACUGUGACUUAAAAUAUACCCUGCCUGACUCAGAGGGGCACUGUCAUCUUGGAAUUCAAAGUAAAUCAACAGUCUGUCACCUAAAUGGAACAGAAACUAUGUUGCAUUUUGGUGAUGGAGCAGGUUAAUGCAUUUGACCCUAGGUCAGUCCUCACUCUCUGGAAUUCUGAAGCUGUAUUGGAUUCUGGAAGGCAUGCUGGG